AGAGUUUGAUUCUGGCUCAGAACGAACGCUGGCGGCGUGGAUAAGACAUGCAAGUCGAACGGAAAAUUCUUGGAGCUUGCUUUGAGGGUUUUUAGUGGCGGACGGGUGAGUAUCACGUGAGCAACCUGCCCAGGAGGUCGGGAUAGCCCGGGGAAACUCGGAUUAAUACCGUAUGGCAUCGGGGAUGGCAUCAUCCCCUGAUUAAAGGUGGGGACCCUUCGGGGCCUGCCGCUUCUGGAUGGGCUCGCGGCCUAUCAGCUUGAUGGUGAGGUAACGGCUCACCAUGGCUACGACGGGUAGCUGGUCUGAGAGGAUGACCAGUCACACUGGAACUGAGACACGGUCCAGACACCUACGGGUGGCAGCAGUCGAGAAUCAUUCGCAAUGGGCGAAAGCCUGACGGUGCGACGCCGCGUGGAGGAUGAAGGCCCUAGGGUCGUAAACUCCUGUCAUCGGUGAGUAAGGCGGGUCGGUUAAUAGCCGGGUCCGUUGAUAGUAGCCGAAGAGGAAGGGACGGCUAACUUCGUGCCAGCAGCCGCGGUAAUACGAAGGUCCCAAGCGUUGUUCGGAAUUACUGGGCGUAAAGCGUGCGUAGGCGGCGAGGUAAGUCAGAUGUGAAAUCCCGGGGCUCAACCCCGGAACUGCAUCCGAUACUGCCUUGCUAGAGUAAUGGAGGGGCAUCUGGAAUUCACGGUGUAGCAGUGAAAUGCGUGGAUAUCGUGAGGAACACUAGUGGCGAAGGCGAGAUGCUGGACAUUUACUGACGCUGAGGUACGAAGGCCAGGGGAGCGAACGGGAUUAGAUACCCCGGUAGUCCUGGCAGUAAACGGUGCUCGCUUGGUGUGGGGGGAUUCGACCCCCUCCGUGCCGAAGCUAACGCGUUAAGCGAGCCGCCUGGGGAGUAGGGCCGCAAGGUUAAAACUCAAAGAAAUUGACGGGGACCCGCACAAGCGGUGGAGUAUGUGGCUUAAUUCGAUGCAACGCGAAGAACCUUACCUAGGCUUGACAUGCGUCUCUAAGCCGUUCGAAAGGCGGUGAGCGGAGCAAUCCGCAAUUCGCACAGGUGCUGCAUGGCUGUCGUCAGCUCGUGUCGUGAGAUGUUUGGUUAAGUCCAGCAACGAGCGCAACCCCUGUGUCCUGUUACCAGCGCGUUAUGGCGGGGACUCUGGACAGACUGCCCAGAUCAACUGGGAGGAAGGUGGGGAUGACGUCAAGUCAGUAUGGCCCUUAUGCCUAGGGCUGCACACGUACUACAAUGCCCAGCACAAUGUGAACCGAUACCGUAAGGUGGAGGAAAUCCUGAAAACUGGGCUCAGUCCGGAUUGGGGGCUGCAACUCGCCCCCAUGAAGUCGGAAUCGCUAGUAAUGGCACAUCAGCUACGGUGCCGUGAAUACGUUCCCGGGUCUUGUACACACCGCCCGUCACAUCAUGGAAGCCGAUCACACCCGAAGUGCCCCCGCCAACCUCGUGAGGCAGGGCCCUAAGGUGAGAUUGGUAACUGGGAUGAAGUCGUAACAAGGUA
rnacentral:rRNA from 1 species